rnacentral:tRNA from 1 species
GCCUGGGUGGCUCAAUCAGUUAAGCAACUGACUUUGGAUCAGGUCAUGAUCUUGCAGUCCGUGAGUUUCAGCCCCGCCUCGGGCU